AUCAGAUAGGGUUUACCAGUUGCGUUUCUGAUGACUUAUUUUGUGAAUCAAUUGCGAUGACGUAUUGUCGACUAUACGUGUAACGUUACGUAGCAUUGCCGGUGGCUUUGUUUAGAGUGGCCCUCGACGAGUUCCAGUGAAAAGGUCUCCUCGUGCGUGUUGUACGAGACAUAGACGCUUGCAUGGCGCACAUGUCGCCUUCGAUGUACGUGCGCUCGGCAUUGUUGUUGCUGUGCAACUGGCAAACCGCGAUCCGAUCAUUAUCGUACUCAGAUUUGUCGAUCCUGAAUUUCGACAUUCAUAUUUAUCGAUCUAUUGCAGUCAUAUUUAAUAACAGACCUUAUCACGCGAGCAUAAGACGAAUGGCAAAUUUAUACGGUUUCCAGAUCAAGGAAACAGCAAAAGGAAACCAAAAAAAGAUUGAACAAUAUUACAUUUUCCGAUGAAAAGAACGUAUGCUAGCGAUUACGUAAACACGUCACGAUCGACGAAUGUCCAUUCAUCAGUUCUCAUAUAUUGAACGAAGAUAAUUAGCAGCUGUUGGCAGAUGUUGGCAUCGUGCCGAGUUUCACAAAACUUGGAAAUCCGAUCAAGCUACAACGUUUACGAUUCGAGAGUCGUACAGUAAUUGUCGCUUAAAAACCGAUACCUGCAAAUUUCUGCUGUCUGCCUGACUGCGAAAGACUUCCCUGAAUUUUUAGAAACUCUAAGAAACCAUUUUGUAAAAAUCACACGGAAAGGAUUUGUUAAAGGAUGCAUCAUUAGCAUUAACAGGCAGAGGGAAGUGACUACAAGGACUCAUACUAUUUAGCAUCGUUUUAUGCCACGAUCUUAUUAAAAAUGGUUCGACGAAACGACGGUCGCCUAGACUUAAAUGCUAUUUUCUAUUGGUUCUUUGUGAUACUUCGUGGAAUUCGAAGCCGAUUGACGGCUUUCAUAAGUAUAAUUUAGUACAUAUUGUGUAUUAGAAAAUUCUACGCAAUAAAUUAAAAU